UACGGAGGGUGCGAGCGUUGUCCGGAAUCACUGGGCGUAAAGCGCACGUAGGCGGAUGUGUCAGUCAGGGGUGAAAUCCCGGAGCUCAACUUCGGAACUGCCUUUGAUACAGCACGUCUUGAGUCCGGAAGAGGUGGGUGGAAUUCCUAGUGUAGAGGUGAAAUUCGUAGAUAUUAGGAAGAACACCGGUGGCGAAGGCGGCCCACUGGUCCGGUACUGACGCUGAGGUGCGAAAGCGUGGGGAGCAAACAGG
rnacentral:rRNA from 1 species